UUUCGGGCAUAGUGGCGCACGGGUGCGUAACGCGUGGGAAUCUGCCCCUUGGUUCGGAAUAACUCAGAGAAAUUUGAGCUAAUACCGGAUGACGACGUAAGUCCAAAGAUUUAUCGCCGAGGGAUGAGCCCGCGUAGGAUUAGCUAGUUGGUGGGGUAAAGGCCUACCAAGGCGACGAUCCUUAGCUGGUCUGAGAGGAUGAUCAGCCACACUGGGACUGAGACACGGCCCAGACUCCUACGGGAGGCAGCAGUGGGGAAUAUUGGACAAUGGGCGAAAGCCUGAUCCAGCAAUGCCGCGUGAGUGAUGAAGGCCUUAGGGUUGUAAAGCUCUUUUACCCGGGAUGAUAAUGACAGUACCGGGAGAAUAAGCUCCGGCUAACUCCGUGCCAGCAGCCGCGGUAAUACGGAGGGAGCUAGCGUUGUUCGGAAUUACUGGGCGUAAAGCGCACGUAGGCGGCUUUGUAAGUUAGAGGUGAAAGCCUGGAGCUCAACUCCAGAACUGCCUUUGAUACUGCAUGGCUUGAAUCCAAGAGAGGUGAGUGGAAUUCCGAGUGUAGAGGUGAAAUUCGUAGAUAUUCGGAAGAACACCAGUGGCGAAGGCGGCUCACUGGCUUGGCAUUGACGCUGAGGUGCGAAAGCGUGGGGGAGCAAACAGGAUUAGAUACCCUGGUAGUCCACGCCGUAAACGAUGAUAACUAGCUGUCGGGGCACUUGGUGUUUCGGUGGCGCAGCU
rnacentral:rRNA from 1 species